GCUGUCCUUGGCAUGGUCUGGAAGGCAAAGUACCGGGAGCUGCUCCUAUCAGAGCUCCUGGGCCGGUGGGCGCCUGUCGUGGUAUGGCUUGGCCUCACCUACCAUGUGCACGACCUCAUUGGGGCCCAGCUCGUGGACUGCAUCUCUACCACUUCGGGAACCCUCCUCCGCCUGCCAGAGACAUGAAGAUUCUGCUCAUCAUUGCUCAGCUCCUCAGAGUGGGCCGGGAGGGGACUAGAAGAGCUGCAUGAUGGUGGCUGAGACACGGUCGCCUUGGGAAGGCUUGGGAGCCGGGAUGAGUGUUGGGCUCUUGUGUGUGCAGAAGGUCAGAUGUGACUGCUGCUGUUUGCCUGGUUUCUGACCCAGUGGUGGGGUUUGAGCAAUGCUUCUCUGCCCUUCCAUGGAAAGUGGAACCAGAAAUGGUGCCAAGGCUGUGGCUGUUCCCUUUCGUGUAAAAUGGUGCUGUUAUUACUCUGUCUUGAAAUAGGAAGGUGGGAUUUCUGGGGAGGCUGGUGAAGGAGGGCAGGGUUCUUUUCCCUAUGCGUCAUGUUAAAAUUGCCAAAUAAAGUACCUCUGCCUGUGA